UACGGGGGGAGCAAGCGUUGUUCGGAUUUACUGGGCGUAAAGGGCGCGUAGGCGGCCAGCACAAUUCAGUUGUGAAAUCUCCGAGCUUAACUCGGAAAGGUCAACUGAUACUGUGCGGCUAGAGUGCGGAAGGGGCAACUGGAAUUCUUGGUGUAGCGGUGAAAUGCGUAGAUAUCAAGAGGAACACCUGCGGCGAAGGCGGGUUGCUGGGCCGACACUGACGCUGAGGCGCGAAAGCGUGGGGAGCAAACAGG
rnacentral:rRNA from 1 species